rnacentral:lncRNA from 1 species
UGUAUUGGCAGAGGUUUUCUUAAUCCAAAUCUCACGAUGAGUUCACUGCAUGUCUAGCAAGAUCAGUAUGGCUGAAUUAAUACAAGGGCUGCAGAUCCUACGAAGACCUUGAAAGUCAAGGAUCAAUUUGCACAAAGAGAGGUUGCUUGUUUCCCGCGUAUUAGUCCCAAGUCUAUCUUCAAGGUCUGCUGAUGCUACAAAAUACAAUUUCGAAACAUGGAGAUUCGAGAUUCUGUUGUCAGGUUUUGCCACAGCUUCGGUGCCGUUGCUGAUGAUGCCGUCCUGGAUUAUAUCACCGGCAUCAUAGAAGACGCGGAGACAGAUAAUGUGGAUCUGGAAGAGAUCGAAGACGUUGUGACAGGGUUCUUUCCAAAAUUCAGCUCAUUACCGGAAGAACGCAGGCAUCAAGUGCUGUGGAAUUUGCUGCAAGAGG